rnacentral:rRNA from 1 species
GAUGAACGCUGGCGGCGUGCCUAAUACAUGCAAGUCGAGCGAACAGACGAGGAGCUUGCUCCUCUGACGUUAGCGGCGGACGGGUGAGUAACACGUGGAUAACCUACCUAUAAGACUGGGAUAACUUCGGGAAACCGGAGCUAAUACCGGAUAAUAUAUUGAACCGCAUGGUUCAAUAGUGAAAGACGGUUUUGCUGUCACUUAUAGAUGGAUCCGCGCCGCAUUAGCUAGUUGGUAAGGUAACGGCUUACCAAGGCAACGAUGCGUAGCCGACCGGAGGGGGGGGUCGGCCACACUGGAACUGAGACGCGGUCCAGACUCCUACGGGAGGCAGCAGUAGGGAAUCUUCCGCAAUGGGCGAAAGCCUGACGGAGCAACGCCGCGUGAGUGAUGAAGGUCUUCGGAUCGUAAAACUCUGUUAUUAGGGAAGAACAAAUGUGUAAGUAACUAUGCACGUCUUGACGGUACCUAAUCAGAAAGCCACGGCUAACUACGUG